rnacentral:rRNA from 1 species
GAUGAACGCUGGCGGCGUGCCUAAUACAUGCAAGUCGAGCGAACAGACGAGGAGCUUACUCCUCUGACGUUAGCGGCGGACGGGUGAGUAACACGUGGAUAACCUACCUAUAAGACUGGGAUAACUUCGGGAAACCGGAGCUAAUACCGGAUAACAUGUUGAACCGCAUGGUUCAACAGUGAAAGACGGUCUUGCUGUCACUUAUAGAUGAAUCCGCGUCGCAUUAGCUAGUUGGUAAGGUAACGGCUUACCAAGGCAACGAUGCGUAGCCGACCUGAGAGGGUGAUCGGCCACACUGGAACUGAGACACGGUCCAGACUCCUACGGGAGGCAGCAGUAGGGAAUCUUCCGCAAAGGGCGAAAGCCUGACGGAGCAACGCCGCGUGAGUGAAGAAGGUCUUCGGAUCGUAAAACUCUGUUAUUAGGGAAGAACAAAUGUGUAAGUAACUAUGCACGUCUUGACGGUACCUAAUCAGAAAGCCACGGCUAACUACGUG